CCCGGCCGGGGGCGGGCGAUCCCCGCGGCGCAGGAGGGAGGCGGUGGGCUCCGGCCAUCGCCAUCGCCAGCCCCCGAGGGGCCGCCUGGGGGAAGGGGAGCGGGGCCGCGACCUCCGUUUUUCCCGCCCUGCCUGCCGGGAGCCGGUGUGGGGCCGGGAGGGCAGCCCGGCCCCGGCCUCUUCUCCCUCAGCGCGCUUGGUCCCUGCGCCCGCAGCUGUCCGUUCAGCGGAAUUUCUCGUUUUCGACGCCGGGAGGCUGUGAAAUGAGACCUGUGGCUUUCCUGGAUGUGUGGAAGCAUGAGGGGAAGCUGUGCAGGAGCUUUGAGGAGAAAAGAUGUUCGUCGGCAGAUUUCACCCUUCCUGAGACGACCACACGUGGGCAUUACAGUUCACUAGGAGCAGAAACUGCAUCUCCAUUUCUUACAUGCUUUUGGUACCCUCAAUAAAUAUCGCUAUGUC